GUAGGUGGCAAGCGUUGUCCGGGAAUUAUUGGGGCGUAAAGCGCGCGCAGGCGGUUCUUUAAGUCUGAUGUGAAAGCCCACGGGCUCAACCGUGGAGGGUCAUUGGAGACUGGAGAACUUGAGUACAGAAGAGGAAAGCGGAAUUCCACGUGUAGCGGUGAAAUGCGUAGAGAUGUGGAGGAACACCAGUGGCGAAGGCGGCUUUCUGGUCUGUAACUGACGCUGAGGCGCGAAAGCGUGGGGAGCGAACAGGAUUAGAUACCCUGGUAGUCCACGCCGUAAACGAUGAGUGCUAAGUGUUAGGGGGUUUCCGCCCCUUAGUGCUGCAGCUAACGCAUUAAGCACUCCGCCUGGGGAGUACGGCCGCAAAGGCUG
rnacentral:rRNA from 1 species